GUGGAAUGGGGUGGAGUCUGAAGCAGCCACAUCGCGUGAAGGAGACUGCCCUACGGGUUGUAAACUUCUUUUGUACAGGAAUAAAAGACAUUACGUGUAAUGUAUUGCAUGUACUGUACGAAUAAGCAUCGGCUAACUCCAUGCCAGCAGCCGCGGUAAUAU
rnacentral:rRNA from 1 species